rnacentral:rRNA from 1 species
UAGUCAUAUGCUUGUCUCAAAGAUUAAGCCAUGCAUGUCUAAGUACAUACCGCCUUAAGGUGAAACCGCGAAUGGCUCAUUAAAUCAGUUACGGUUCAUUAGAUAUUUACUAAUCUACAUGGAUAACUGUGGUAAUUCUAGAGCUAAUACAUGCAAUAAAGCCUUGACCCUCUGGGAAGAGGCGCAUUUAUUAGACCAAGACUAACGGGGCUUCGCGCUCCUAGUAAUGGUGACUCUGGAUAACUGUGCUAAUCGCAUGGCCUGCGCGCCGGCGAUGAAUCUUUCAAGUGUCUGCCUUAUCAACUGUCGAUGGUAGGUUAUAUGCUUACCAUGGUUGUAACGGGUAACGGGGAAUCAGGGUUCGAUUCCGGAGAGGGAGCCUGAGAAACGGCUACCACAUCCAAGGAAGGCAGCAGGCACGCAAAUUACCCACUCCCAGAACGGGGAGGUAGUGACGAAAAAUAACAAUACGGGACUCUUAUGAGGCCCCGUAAUUGGAAUGAGUACAAUCUAAAUCCUUUAACGAGGAUCUAUUGGAGGGCAAGUCUGGUGCCAGCAGCCGCGGUAAUUCCAGCUCCAAUAGCGUAUAUUAAAGUUGUUGCGGUUAAAAAGCUCGUAGUUGAAUCUCAGUUCAUGCUAUGUGGUCCACCAAUUGGCGGUUACUGCAUAGCUGAACAUUUUACGGAUUUGUCUUUUGAUGCUCUUUACCGAGUGUUUUGAGCGAUCCGUACGUUUACUUUGAAAAAAUUAGAGUGCUCAAAGCAGGCUACUCGCCCGAAUAAUCUUGCAUGGAAUAAUAGAAAAGGACUUCGGUUCUAUUUUGUUGGUCUUCGGAAUUCCGAGGUAAUGAUUAAGAGGGACAGACGGGGGCAUUCGUAUUGUAACGCUAGAGGUGAAAUUCUUGGACCGUUGCAAGACGAACUACAGCGAAAGCAUUUGCCAAGAAUGUUUUCAUUAAUCAAGAACGAAAGUUAGAGGUUCGAAGGCGAUCAGAUACCGCCCUAGUUCUAACCAUAAACGAUGCCAACCAGCGAUCAGUCUGAGUUCUUUAAAUGACUCGACUGGCAGCUUUCGGGAAACCAAAGUUUUUGGGUUCCGGGGGAAGUAUGGUUGCAAAGCUGAAACUUAAAGGAAUUGACGGAAGGGCACCACCAGGAGUGGAGCCUGCGGCUUAAUUUGACUCAACACGGGAAAACUCACCCGGCCCGGACACUGGGAGGAUUGACAGAUUGAGAGCUCUUUCUUGAUUCAGUGGGUGGUGGUGCAUGGCCGUUCUUAGUUGGUGGAGCGAUUUGUCUGGUUAAUUCCGAUAACGAACGAGACUCUAGCCUACUAAAUAGACUGUCAGUUCAUUUGCGCUGACAGGACUUCUUAGAGGGACAGGCGGCGGUUCAGCCGCACGAAACAGAGCAAUAACAGGUCUGUGAUGCCCUUAGAUGUCCGGGGCCGCACGCGCGCUACACUGAAGUGAUCAGCGUGCAUAGUUGACUUACUCUGAAAGGAGUGGGUAACCCGAUGAACCUUCUUCGUGAUAGGGAUUGGGCAUUGUAAUUAUUGCCCAUGAACGAGGAAUUCCCAGUAAGCGUGAGUCAUAAGCUCGCGUUGAUUAAGUCCCUGCCCUUUGUACACACCGCCCGUCGCUACUACCGAUUGAAUGAUUUAGUGAGGUCUUCGGACUGGCCGGCGAAGCUACUCUUGUAGUGGCCACGCUGUGCUGGGAAGAUGCCCAAACUUGAUCAUUUAGAGGAAGUAAAAGUCGUAACAAGGUUUCC